rnacentral:rRNA from 1 species
AGUGAACGCUGGCGGCAUGGUUAAGACAUGCAAGUCGAACGAGAAGCUUAUCUUCGGAUUUGUGGAAAGUGGCGAACGGGUGCGUAACACGUGAGCAACCUGCCCUAAAGUACAGAACAGCCCGUCGAAAGAUGGAUUAAUGCUGUAUGUGGCCUUUUAUCGCAUGGUAAAAUGGCUAAAGCUUGUAAUGGCGCUUUAGGAUGGGCUCGCGGCCUAUCAGCUUGUUGGUGAGGUAAAAGCUCACCAAGGCUAAGACGGGUAGCUGUUCUGAGAGGAUGAUCAGCCACACCGGGACUGAGACACGGCCCGGACACCUACGGGUGGCAGCAGUUUCGAAUCAUUCACAAUGGGCGAAAGCCUGAUGGUGCAAUGCCGCGUGGAGGAUGAAGGCCUUAGGGUCGUAAACUCCUGUCAUUAGGGAGCAACAAGCAGGUUCAUAGCCUGCCCUGAGUUAACCUAAAGAGGAAGAGGUGGCUAACUCCG